AAAAUAGUUUUCAAAUCGAAUAUAUUCAAAAGCAAGUACCUGGUAAAUAUAAUGUACAUCUAUUCCCUUGUUUUAGCAAAAUGCCUGAAACAGAGUUAGCCCCGUCAGAAAUACACUAUAGUCAGUCUUCAAUUUUAUGCAAUUUCAGUAAGAAAUCGAAACAUACAGAUAAAAGCAUUGGAGAGACUGUUGACAACAUAUUAUUAAAACGAUGUCGGAUAGAGGACAUUCCCAAAAUCAGUGUGGUCAAGAAGAAAGGAGUUUGGGUAUCAGCAGACAACAGGCGACUGUGGAUUUUUAAAACAUUAGAAUCUUUAGGAAAAUGUGACAAAAUAACAGUGAAAGUGACAAAGUGUAUAAGUCCCGGGAAACGUGUGGUCAGCAAUAAUGUUAAAAUACGAGGAGAUCCAGGAGGCUGCGUCUACCGGAUAUAGAAAGAUAGGCAGCAGCUCUCCGAAGAUUCAUUAUUUCUGGCACUCUCAAGGAUGGCUUUAGAUUACGAAUGAACAGGACCGAUAGAACGAGGUCACUGGGCAGCUAGGAGGAAAAUCUACACUCAGAAAAGGAUUUUUUAAAGCAUUUGAUGGGGUUAUUGUUUUUAUUUUGAUAUAUGUUUGUGAUUAUUGAUUUCUGUUUGACAUGUAAAUAAAGAAUUAGGAUAACUGUU